UACGUAGGGUGCGAGCGUUGUCCGGAAUUACUGGGCGUAAAGAGCUCGUAGGUGGUUUGUCGCGUUGUCCGUGAAAACUCACAACUCAAUUGUGGGCGUGCGGGCGAUACGGGCAGACUGGAGUACUGCAGGGGAGACUGGAAUUCCUGGUGUAGCGGUGAAAUGCGCAGAUAUCAGGAAGAACACCCGUGGCUAAGGCGGCUCUCUAGUACGGUACUGACGCUGAGACGCGAAAGCGUGGGGAGCGAACAGG
rnacentral:rRNA from 1 species